GGACGAACGCUGGCGGCGUGCUUAACACAUGCAAGUCGAACGGAAAGGCCCUUUCGGGGGUACUCGAGUGGCGAACGGGUGAGUAACACGUGGGUGAUCUGCCCUGCACUUUGGGAUAAGCCUGGGAAACUGGGUCUAAUACCGAAUAGGACCACGCGCUUCAUGGUGUGUGGUGGAAAGCUUUUGCGGUGUGGGAUGGGCCCGCGGCCUAUCAGCUUGUUGGUGGGGUAAUGGCCUACCAAGGCGACGACGGGUAGCCGGCCUGAGAGGGUGUCCGGCCACACUGGGACUGAGAUACGGCCCAGACUCCUACGGGAGGCAGCAGUGGGGAAUAUUGCACAAUGGGCGCAAGCCUGAUGCAGCGACGCCGCGUGGGGGAUGACGGCCUUCGGGUUGUAAACCUCUUUCAGUAUCGGCGAAGCUCCAGGAUUCUUCUUGGGGUGACGGUAGGUACAGAAGAAGCACCGGCCAAYUAC
rnacentral:rRNA from 1 species